rnacentral:rRNA from 1 species
GAUGAACGCUGGCGGCGUGCCUAAUACAUGCAAGUCGAGCGAACAGACGAGGAGCUUGCUCCUCUGACGUUAGCGGCGGACGGGUGAGUCACACGUGGAUACCCUACCUAUAAGACUGGGAUAACUUCGGGAAACCGGAGCUAAUACCGGAUGAUAUACUGAACCGCAUGGUUCAAUAGUGAAAGACGGUUUUGCUGUCACUUCUAGCUGGAUCCGCGCCGCAUUAGCUAGUUGGUAAGGUAACGGCUUACCACGGCAACGAUGCGUAGCCGACCUGAGAGGGUGAUCGGCCACACUGGAGCGGAGACGCGGUCCAUGCUCCUACGGGAGGCAGCAGUAGGGAACCGUCCGCAGAAGGCGAAAGCCUGGCGGAGCGAGCCGGCGUGAGUGAUGAAGGUCUUCGGAGCGUGAAGCUCUGUUAUGGGGUAAGAACAAAUGUGGAAGUAACUAUGCACGUCUUGACGGUACCGAAUCAAAAAGCCACGGCUAACUAUGUG